GGAUGGCAAAGAACUCUGGAUGAAAGAAAAUGCCGACGGCAGCAUGAAAGCACUGGACGGGGGGGUCCGCAUUACCAUCAAUCGCUGCAUAAGCUGUAUGUCAAUACGCCGUCGCUGUCGGACCGGACCUAUUGUUGAUUUCGGCGGCAAGGAGGAACUGUUCGAUAACGCCAGGCAGAUGGCCUGCCGGACGAUGUGAC
rnacentral:rRNA from 1 species